AAGCUUCCUGUCGCGUGGAUAUGAACCGUGUGUGGCCAGUGCCAUCCACCGAAAUCUACAGACAUUUUGCGUGCUCCCGGGCUCUCUGCUCCUCUGCCCAGUGCAGGGUUCCUAGAUUCCUUCUAAGGCGAACUCGUGGACCAAGAUUUAAAUUGAGAACGCUCCCAGGACCCCUGGCGCGGCGUCCGGAUCCCGGUGCCCUGUCUUCCGCUACAGCCCCUUCUCUUAUGCUUUUCCUGCCAGGCCCGUAGGCUGUGCAGCCCUCCUGGAGACCGAUGGAAGCUCCCUGGGUCGACAGAUUACAACUUCUGCACCCCCUGGGGCCCCCUACUUUCUUCAACCCCCUGGUGGGUGCCCGUUGUCCCUGGAGAGGAUGCUUGGAAAUAACAGCUUGGGUACACAGCGACCAUAAGAGGUGUCUCCAUCCUGCCAGACUGAUGGACCAUGUUGCUCCUGAGUGAGGAUUGUCACCUGGCAUCUGGAGCUCGGUAUCCUGCAAGAAUAUGUGCCGUUUUCCGGAUUGCCUUUGGGAGUGUGUGAAGGUCCAUGCCUUGUGCCGCCAGAGGACAGUACAUGGCCAGCGAGCCAUGGCCCUGAUGCACUUUUGAGCGGCCUGCACAGCAGAGCAUCGGGCUUGUCUCCAGAGUGUUCCAGGAUUGUCAGCUCAUCUUUGCUGUCUAUGUCAGCACUCCUCGCGUUGCAAGAAGUGACUGGAACAGGGGCCUUGCCAGGUGUUUGUGGACCUCAGAGGACCAGGGAGUGGACAGCAGGACCACCACUCAAAGUGAAACUGGGGACAGCCCACUCACAGCAUCCUGAAACAGCCUUUUUUUUUUUUUUAAAUAAUGUUUGGUAAUCAGCUCAGGCAUGGGAGACUCCAGCAUACAAUGAUUCGACACUAACAGACACCUCAGAGGUGUCUCCAUGUCCAUCUGCAGUGCCUGAAUGACAAGAGCUUUUUUGUUGAACUUGUUGCCAACUUUCUGUUACUCUGUCCCCCGUUUCCCGUCCCCACCACACAUACAUUGUUUAAUAAACCUUACAGAUUGACUCA